UCUACGGGAGGCAGCAGUGGGGAAUAUUGCACAAUGGGGGAAACCCUGAUGCAGCGACGCCGCGUGAGUGAAGAAGUAUUUCGGUAUGUAAAGCUCUAUCAGCAGGAACGAGACAAGACGGUACCUGACUAAGAAGCCUCGGCUAACUACGUGCCAGCAGCCGCGGUACUACGUAGGGGGCAAGCGUUAUCCGGAAUCACUGGGGGUAAAGGGAGCGUAGACGGCUGAGCAAGCCUGAAGUGAAAGGCGGGGGACCAACCCCCGGACUGCUUUGGGAACUGUACGGCUGGAGUGCAGGAGAGGUAAGUGGAAUUCCUAGGGUAGCGGUGAAAUGCGUAGAUAUUAGGAGGAACACCAGUGGCGAAGGCGGCUUACUGGACCGUAACUGACGUUGAGGCUCGAAAGCGUGGGGAGCAAACAGGAUUAGAUACCCCGGUAGUC
rnacentral:rRNA from 1 species